rnacentral:rRNA from 1 species
AAAGCCCCGUAUACGAAGGUUUGAUGAGGAACUAGGCACGCGAACAAGUAGGCCGGGACACGUGAAAUCCUGGUUGAAGAUGGGUGGACCAUCAUCCAAGGCUAAAUACUACUUACUGACCGAUAGUGAACCAGUACCGUGAGGGAAAGGUGAAAAGAACCCCGGAGAGGGGAGUGAAAUAGAAUCUGAAACCGUUUGCGUACAAGCAGUGGGAGCAUAGUUUAGGCUGUGUGACUGCGUACCUUUUGUAUAAUGGGUCAGCGAGUUACUUUCAGUGGCGAGGUUAACUGAAUAAGGGAGCCGUAGAGAAAUCGAGUCUGAAUAGGGCGAUAGUCGCUGGGAGUAGACCCGAAACCGGGCGAUCUAGCCAUGUGCAGGAUGAAGGUUGGGUAACACCAACUGGAGGUCCGAACCGGGUAAUGUUGAAAAAUUAUCGGAUGACGUGUGGCUAGGAGUGAAAGGCUAAUCAAGCCCGGAGAUAGCUGGUUCUCCCCGAAAGCUAUUUAGGUAGCGCCUCGUGAAUGAUUACUGGGGGUAGAGCACUGUUUCGGCUAGGGGGCUGUCAUGGCUUACCAAACCGAUGCAA